GACGAACGCUGGCGGCGUGCCUAAUACAUGCAAGUAGAACGCACAGUUUAUACCGUAGCAUGCUACACCAUAAACUGUGAGUUGCGAACGGGUGAGUAACGCGUAGGUAACCUGCCUGGUAGCGGGGGAUAACUAUUGGAAACGAUAGCUAAUACCGCAUAAUAUUGAUUAUUGCAUGAUAAUUGAUUGAAAGAUGCUAUUGCAUCACUACCAGAUGGACCUGCGUUGUAUUAGCUAGUAGGUGAGGUAACGGCUCACCUAGGCGACGAUACAUAGCCGACCUGAGAGGGUGAUCGGCCACACUGGGACUGAGACACGGCCCAGACUCCUACGGGAGGCAGCAGUAGGGAAUCUUCGGCAAUGGACGAAAGUCUGACCGAGCAACGCCGCGUGAGUGAAGAAGGUUUUCGGAUCGUAAAGCUCUGUUGUAAGAGAAGAACGGGUGUGAGAGUGGAAAGUUCACACUGUGACGGUAUCUUACCAGAAAGGGACGGCUAACUACGUG
rnacentral:rRNA from 1 species